CGGCGAACGGGUGAGUAACACGUGAGUAAUCUGCCUCUAGCUCUGGGAUAGCUCCGGGAAACCGGGAUUAAUACCGGAUAUGACCACUUGAGACAUCUUUUGUGGUGGAAAGUUUUUCGGCUGGAGAUGAGCUCGCGGCCUAUCAGCUUGUUGGUGGGGUAACGGCCUACCAAGGCGACGACGGGUAGCCGGCCUGAGAGGGCGACCGGCCACACUGGGACUGAGACACGGCCCAG
rnacentral:rRNA from 1 species